rnacentral:rRNA from 1 species
CAGGUUUACCUGUGUGACUGCGUACCUUUUGUAUAAUGGGUCAGCGACUUAUAUUCUGUAGCAAGGUUAACCGAAUAGGGGAGCCGGAGGGAAACCGAGUCUUAAUUGGGCGUUAAGUUGCAGGGUAUAGACCCGAAACCCGGUGAUCUAGCCAUGGGCAGGUUGAAGGUUGGGUAACACUAACUGGAGGACCGAACCGACUAAUGUUGAAAAAUUAGCGGAUGACCUGUGGCUGGGGGUGAAAGGCCAAUCAAACCGGGAGAUAGCUGGUUCUCCCCGAAAGCUAUUUAGGUAGCGCCUCGUGAAUUCAUCUUCGGGGGUAGAGCACUGUUUCGGCUAGGGGGCCAUCCCGGCUUACCAACCCGAUGCAAACUGCGAAUACCGGAGAAUGUUAUCACGGGAGACACACGGCGGGUGCUAACGUCCGUCGUGAAGAGGGAAACAACCCAGACCGCCAGCUAAGGUCCCAAAGUCAUGGUUAAGUGGGAAACGAUGUGGGAAGGCCCAGACAGCCAGGAUGUUGGCUUAGAAGCAGCCAUCAUUUAAAGAAAGCGUAAUAGCUCACUGGUCGAGUCGGCCUGCGCGGAAGAUGUAACGGGGCUAAACCAU